CCGCGGGGGAAUCGCAGUGAGCAGCGCGGGGCGAGGCCGCCGCGGACGCCCCGUCGGAUGUGCCCUUCGCUGGGCCGAGCGGCGCAGGGUUGGAGAGGGAAGCGCUCGUGCCCACCUUGCUCGCAGGUGCCCUUGCUGACCUGGGUGAUGGCCUUCUCCCCGCGGCUCUCGGCCCUCUGGCUGGCGGCGCGCAGCUGGCAGCCGCUCGGGGGCCUGUUCUAAGAACUUAUAAGAGUUAAGAAAAAAAAUUAUCUUCAAACAUCAUUAGCUCUGGAAAGCUCUUCCUGACCCACAAACUAGGUUGGGUUCAUGUGCUACAAGCUCUCAUAGGACCAUGUUCCCUUCAUUAGGGCAUUUAUAUCAGUGUGGAAAUGGAUGUGGACGCGGUGCUGCUGCCUGAGAUUAGCAGGAAGCAAUUCUUUUCCCAUUUGGAGAGACCCCAGUGAGACCUGAUCAACUAGCAACAUGCGGAAGUCACACCAUUAAGUCUUCCAAUUUGCUAGCAGCAAAUCAAUGAACUCUGAUAGCUGCUGCCCUAAGCUAGCAUCCAGGGAACUGUGGACAAGCUAUUUGCUACCUGAAUUUUAGUGAAGGAAAGUUAAAUUUUUUCUUAAAGCAGGGCGGGAGUGGGGUUGUGUGGGGAAGAUUAUAUUAAGCAGUGAGAGAAGACAGAUGGAGUUUUGUAGAAAGAGAGCUGGUUGUUUUAAAUUGUAUCUUAAAUUUAUUGUAGAGCUAUUGGUAAUUAGUGUUUUGUUGUUGUGUGUUUAUACCAACCAAUUAAUAAGAAAGGCUUUUAUUUUUAUUUCAUCAGUUGGAGCUGAACUUUAUUUUUUAUUAUAAAUAUAAGGCAUUAUUCUAGGGCCUGGCAAACAUAGGGCCUGGCAAACAUAGGCAGCCAUUUUUUUUUUCUGGGGAAGAUGAUACCUUGGUAUGUUUUCACCACUGUGAGAUGAAAAUUUGAGAACAGUGAGAGACAGAUGCUUGCCUGAGGAGUUUUAUUUUCCCUUUAAUCCUUAUCAAAUAUCCAGAUAUUACCUAUAUUGCCUUGAUCUGCUGUCUGAGGGCUUUUUCGGGCCAGGAGAUGGUUUUGCAGCAGCAGAAGACUAUGAACUGGGCUUUGGGAGAUAGGAUCUCUGGUUGUAUUCUGGCUAUCCACACUCUGAAAGAGGACCGUGACAGAGAAUUUGAGUAUCCUACCAAUAUACCUACAAAAGGAUGAAAGAAGAUUUGGAGUCAAGGGAAAACAAGGGCAAUAAAAUAGAUGCUUACCACCUGCUCUCAUACAGUUGCUAGAAGAGGACUGCAUAUUUGGUUCUAAGUUUUUGGAAGAUAAAGCAAAAAUAGAAACACAACUCAUUAUAAAAUUUUGGUGUAUCCAUAAAAUAAAAACAAAUGACCUGUUUGA
rnacentral:antisense_RNA from 1 species